rnacentral:rRNA from 1 species
AGAGAUGUGUGAUGACGCAUAUCAAUAAGCGGAGGAAAAGAAACUAACAAGGAUUCCCCUAGUAACGGCGAGUGAAGCGGGAAGAGCUCAAAUUUGAAAUCUUAAAGGGUUUCCCUUGACGAAUUGUAGUUUAAAGAAGUGUUUUCUGUUAGGGAGUUUCGGUAAAAGUUCUUUGGAAUAGGACAUCAUAGAGGGUGAGAAUCCCGUAUUUGGUCAUUCCUUCUAGCGUUGUGAUACACUUUCAAAGAGUCGUAUUGUUUGGGAAUGCAGUCCAAAAUGGGUGGUAAAUUUCAUCUAAAGCUAAAUAUUGGCGAGAGACCGAUAGCGAACAAGUACCGUGAGGGAAAGAUGAAAAGAACUUUGAAAAGAGAGUUAAACAGUACGUGAAAUUGUCAAAAGGGAAGCGUUUGACACCAGUGUUGUUUAGUUGAAAAUCAAUUACGAAUAGUUUUUGAUUCUAAGUAGUAAUUAUGACUUCAUCAGGCUUGCUGCUUUCUUCUCAGAAAAUUAUUGAAUGCACUUUUCAGGUUAACAAGUCAACAUCAAUUUCUUUUGUUGUAAAAGGGUAAGAGGAAGGUGGCUUGCGCUUUCGGCUCAAGUGUUUAUAGCCUUUUAUCUCUGCAAUCGGAGAGAUUGAGGUCUGCAGCGUAGAUCCUUCGGGGUUAGAUACAUUGGUGCUAAGCUAUAGCCUUGUAUAGACAACUUGUUGACUAUGCUCAGUCAUGUAGCUUACUCGCUGAUGCUAUUUUACCUACGCUUAGGAUGUUGACAGCAGUAUAGACUGU